rnacentral:rRNA from 1 species
GGCGAGUGAAGCGGUAACAGCUCAAAUUUGAAAGCUAGCUCUUUUAGGGUUCGCAUUGUAAUUUGUAGAAGAUGCUUCGGGUGUGGCCCCGGUCUAAGUUCCUUGGAACAGGACGUCAUAGAGGGUGAGAAUCCCGUAUGUGACUGGGUGCUUUCGCUCAUGUGAAGCUCUUUCGACGAGUCGAGUUGUUUGGGAAUGCAGCUCAAAAUGGGUGGUAAAUUUCAUCUAAAGCUAAAUAUUGGCCAGAGACCGAUAGCGCACAAGUAGAGUGAUCGAAAGAUGAAAAGCACUUUGGAAAGAGAGUUAAACAGUACGUGAAAUUGUUGAAAGGGAAGCGCUUGCAACCAGACUUGCGCGCUGAUGAUCAUCCGGGCUUCUGUCCGGUGCACUCGUCUGCGCUCAGGCCAGCAUCGGUUUCGGUGGUGGGAUAAAGGCCUUGGGAAUGUAGCUCCUCUCGGGGAGUGUUAUAGCCCUCGGUGCAAUGCCGCCUACCGGGACCGAGGACCGCGCUUCGGCUAGGAUGCUGGCGUAAUGGUUGUAAGCGACCCGUCUUGAAACACGGACCAAGGAGUCUAACAUCUAUGCGAGUGUUUGGGUGUCAAACCCAUACGCGUAAUGAAAGUGAACGGAGGUGAGAACCCUUAAGGGUGCAUCAUCGACCGGUCCUGAUGUCUUCGGAUGGAUCUGAGUAAGAGCAUAGCUGUUGGGACCCGAAAGAUGGUGAACUAUGCGUGAAUAGGGUGAAGCCAGAGGAAACUCUGGUGGAGGCUCGCAGCGGUUCUGACGUGCAAAUCGAUCGUC